AAAGUUAUUCAUAAUUUUGUAUUAAAAAAAAAAACGGUUUCACAUUAAAAGGAUUAUAAGAACAAACAAAUAAGGAUUACUUUUCACAAAAACAAACAAAAGAAUUGCCGAUUCAUAUAAAUGCGAUGACCGGAUAUUUUGUUUUUUAAAAGAUAGUUUGAUUGAAUUUAGAUAUUCCAGGAUCAAAUUUAAAAAAAAAAAAAAAUUUUGUAUACUGCAAUUUUUAACAAUAAAACAUCAAAGACAUUUUAACAUAAUUUUGUGAUAAAACAGUUUUUAUUAUUUAGAACCAUUCCGUAUCAAUAAAAUUCAAAAAAAUAUCAAUAAUAUUAUAGGAAAACUGGUAUUAAAAUGGUAUAAUUUUUUAAGUAAUCUAAAAACAUCACAUU